GGAUAAGAGGAUUGUUAAAAGAAAAAAUAAUAAGGCAGCAAAGUUGAUUCAAUGGAGAGCUUCUCCAGCAGAUUGAACUUGAGUCUUUGCUCAUGAAAUUCAAACUAGAUUUCCAGACUUUGCUCCUUGAGGACAAGGAGUCUUUCGAGGGGUGGGUAUUGUUGCGAUACAAUAUGUGAAACGGUGCGUUUGUCAAGUCAAACGAAUGUCCAGCAGCAGUUGAAGAGUUGUUAUGGGUGUCGGGUAUUCUGUUAGUUCAGUAGCAAGUUACAAGGGUAGUUUGUUAUAAAAGAGUUGUAGUUUGUUAGAGAAGAGUUGUUUUGAGGUUGUUAGAUAUGAUCAGAUAUGAAGUUGUAACCAACCAUAUAUAGAUUUAUUCUUGAUUCUUAAUGAAAUCUGACUGAUUGUUGAGUUCAUUCACUUUAUUCUGUUCUUCCUAUUUUCUGUAAGAACAUAAACACCCUUAAAGUAAAAGAA
rnacentral:misc_RNA from 1 species